ensembl:misc_RNA Metazoa_SRP Metazoan signal recognition particle RNA
GCUGGGCGUGGUGACGUGUGCCUGUAAUCCCAGCUACUUGGGAGGCUGAGGCAUGAGAAUCACUUGAACCCAGGAGGUGGAGGUUGCAGUGAGCCAGGAUCGCACCACUGCACUCCAGCCUGGGAAAUAAAGUGAGACUCUGUCUCUA